UACGGGGGGUGCAAGCGUUAUCCGGAUUCACUGGGUUUAAAGGGUGCGUAGGCGGACACUUAAGUCCGUGGUGAAAUCUCUGGGCUUAACCCAGAAACUGCCAUGGAUACUAUUUGUCUUGAAUGUUGUGGAGGUUAGCGGAAUAUGUCAUGUAGCGGUGAAAUGCAUAGAUAUGACAUAGAACACCAAUUGCGAAGGCAGCUGGCUACACAAAUAUUGACGCUGAGGCACGAAAGCGUGGGGAUCAAACAGG
rnacentral:rRNA from 1 species